rnacentral:rRNA from 1 species
GAACGGGUGAGUAACACGUGAGCAACCUGCCCCAGACUUCGGGAUAAGCCUUGGAAACGAGGUCUAAUACUGGAUAUGAGGUCACAUCGCAUGGUGUGGUCUGGAAAGAUUUAUCGGUCUGGGAUGGGCUCGCGGCCUAUCAGCUUGUUGGUGGGGUAGUGGCCUACCAAGGCGACGACGGGUAGCCGGCCUGAGAGGGCGACCGGCCACACUGGGACUGAGACACGGCCCAGACUCCUACGGGAGGCAGCAGUGGGGAAUAUUGCACAAUGGGCGCAAGCCUGAUGCAGCGACGCCGCGUGAGGGAUGAAGGCCUUCGGGUUGUAAACCUCUUUCAGCAGGGAAGAAGCGCAAGUGACGGUACCUGCAGAAGAAGCGCCGGCUAACUACGUGCCAGCAGCCGCGGUAAUACGUAGGGCGCAAGCGUUGUCCGGAAUUAUUGGGCGUAAAGAGCUCGUAGGCGGUCUGUCGCGUCUGGUGUGAAAACUCAAGGCUCAACCUUGAGCUUGCAUCGGGUACGGGCAGACUAGAGUGCGGUAGGGGAGACUGGAAUUCCUGGUGUAGCGGUGGAAUGCGCAGAUAUCAGGAGGAACACCGAUGGCGAAGGCAGGUCUCUGGGCCGCAACUGACGCUGAGGAGCGAAAGCAUGGGGAGCGAACAGGAUUAGAUACCCUGGUAGUCCAUGCCGUAAACGUUGGGCACUAGGUGUGGGGCUCAUUCCACGAGUUCCGUGCCGCAGCAAACGCAUUAAGUGCCCCGCCUGGGGAGUACGGCCGCAAGGCUAAAACUCAAAGGAAUUGACGGGGGCCCGCACAAGCGGCGGAGCAUGCGGAUUAAUUCGAUGCAACGCGAAGAACCUUACCAAGGCUUGACAUACACCGGAAACUUCCAGAGAUGGUUGCCCCGCAAGGUCGGUGUACAGGUGGUGCAUGGUUGUCGUCAGCUCGUGUCGUGAGAUGUUGGGUUAAGUCCCGCAACGAGCGCAACCCUCGUCCUAUGUUGCCAGCACGUGAUGGUGGGGACUCAUAGGAGACUGCCGGGGUCAACUCGGAGGAAGGUGGGGAUGACGUCAAAUCAUCAUGCCCCUUAUGUCUUGGGCUUCACGCAUGCUACAAUGGCCGGUACAAAGGGCUGCGAUACCGUAAGGUGGAGCGAAUCCCAAAAAGCCGGUCUCAGUUCGGAUUGGGGUCUGCAACUCGACCCCAUGAAGUCGGAGUCGCUAGUAAUCGCAGAUCAGCAACGCUGCGGUGAAUACGUUCCCGGGCCUUGUACACACCGCCCGUCAAGUCACGA